AGGGAGGGAGGGCAGAGGAGAAAAGAGGGAGGCAGGAGAGGCAGCACCCUGGGGAAUGGCUCUGUCAAGGCCACAGGAAGCAGAGGCAGACAUGAGAAAGCCAGUUCCCCAGCACAGGCUGAGCAAGGCCAACCGGGCUGAAGCUGGAGGUGAGGCUGGGGACCCUGCCCCCCACUGCACAACCUAGGAGCUAUGAUCCCCAUCAGGGACCUGGAAUGCUAGCACCUUGCCAUCACAGGGUCCCUGGAGAAGUGCUCUGUGCUUCAAGGUGAUUCCAGAAGCCAGGCACGUGGUGCAUCCCUGUAAUCCCAGCACUCAUGAGGCUGAGACACGAGGAUCAUCUGAGCCCAGCUUGGACUACAUAGUUCGUGGUCAACCUGAACUAAAUUGAGACCCUGUCUUUAAAAAAAAAAGUGAUUCCAGGUCGCACCUGAGACUCUUGGUAGCUGUUGGCACUGGGAGUUGACCCCCCCCCCCGACUCAUCAAGAAUUCAUGCUCACCCACUGGGGCACCGGUCUGCCAAGAACGCCACCUGUGGCAUCAUCCCUACUGCCACCUACCCCAUCCUGCCAUGACUUGUAACUAAGCAGCCCCUGGCAGAUCCUCUUGCCAACCUCUAACACUUCCUGUUUCUCACACCUGCUCAAUGACAGAGGCGGACCAGGCUGUCUGCUGGCCAGACAGUGGCGAAGCACAGGCCCAGAUAGGGACACAGCUGAGGAAGAAUCGGUCCAGUUAAUCCUAGGAAAAUGACUUGAGACCAGCUCUCCAGGAAGGAGGCCUAUAGGCACCACCUGCAAGCUGUUCAUCUAUCCUCUGAGUUGGAAGAGGAAAGGAAGACCUUGCCAAGCCCUCCAAACCUGCUUAUAUUCUCUGUCUGGGGGAGUCUGUGCUUUGUCACAGAAUGGACUCCUGGCUUCUCCAUCCUGCCUAACCAAAGAGUAGCUGGGGGCUUCUCUUAGUGAGAACACCCCUCAUUCUGCUUCCCUCACCCCCAAGAACCCUAGGAAAUGAAGCCUGGGCAUUCCGUCCCUGACUGGUGACAGGAGGAUCUGGCGCAGAGACGUCUCAAGGGGAGGGGAUGUCUGAGCUGUGCUCAGAGGACAAUAGGGAGUUUUUCAGGAAGGUGAGCUUCAGAAGGGCAUUCCAGCCUGGGAGCCACCCUGCUGUGGCCCAGAAACAAAAUCAGCUGGCUCUGUCCCUGGAGCUGUGGUUGACCUGACAGGAAAAUGAGGGUGGGAGCCUGAGGAUAAGGCAGGCCAGAGCCAGGCCUUGUUGGGCUUCUCAUUGCAAGGGUGAUUCACAGGACAAAGUGUCUUCUGUUUUCUCAUCUAGGUCAUUGGGGAGAGUGACAGAGAAGGUUCUGGACUCCAGCUGGAAGAGGGAGGGCAGGAGGAAUGAAAGGGUUUUGAGAACCACAGGCUACUCCUCCUCCCUGUUUUUCAAGGUGCUCAUAGACAGGAUGCUGCUGCCACCCAAAGUGAGCUCAGACAGGUCACUGAACCCCAAGCCCUAGGCCUGGGAAUCCAAAUGUCUGGAAACCAUUGGUCUAGUCCAAUCCCCUUACUUGCACAUGGAGAAGCAGAGGCCCUGAGAGGGGAAUCCAAUUUCCUCUGUGUUACCAUCCCAAACCAGAGAUGACUGUCAGAAGUGAAAAUCAUCAUCAUCAUCAUCAUCAUCAUCAUCAUCAUCAUCAUCAUCCUUUUCUUCAUGUCUGGAAUAAAAAUACUAUGUUAUUAAUAAUGCUAACAACAAGGCCAGGGAUUUAGCUCAGUGGUUUCGCCGCCUGCUACGCAAGCACAAGGACCCAAGUUCGAUCCCCAGUACCAAAAAAAAUAAAUAAUGCUAACAACA
ensembl:lncRNA